rnacentral:rRNA from 1 species
GAAACCGAGUCUUAAUUGGGCGUUAAGUUGCAGGGUAUAGACCCGAAACCCGGUGAUCUAGCCAUGGGCAGGUUGAAGGUUGGGUAACACUAACUGGAGGACCGAACCGACUAAUGUUGAAAAAUUAGCGGAUGACCUGUGGCUGGGGGUGAAAGGCCAAUCAAACCGGGAGAUAGCUGGUUCUCCCCGAAAGCUAUUUAGGUAGCGCCUCGUGAAUUCAUCUCCGGGGGUAGAGCACUGUUUCGGCUAGGGGGCCAUCCCGGCUUACCAACCCGAUGCAAACUGCGAAUACCGGAGAAUGUUAUCACGGGAGACACACGGCGGGUGCUAACGUCCGUCGUGAAGAGGGAAACAACCCAGACCGCCAGCUAAGGUCCCAAAGUCAUGGUUAAGUGGGAAACGAUGUGGGAAGGCCCAGACAGCCAGGAUGUUGGCUUAGAAGCAGCCAUCAUUUAAAGAAAGCGUAAUAGCUCACUGGUCGAGUCGGCCUGCGCGGAAGAUGUAACGGGGCUAAACCAUGCACCGAAGCUGCGGCAGCGACGCUGAUGCGUUGUUGGGUAGGGGAGCGUUCUGUAAGCCUGUGAAGGUGGCCUGUGAGGGUUGCUGGAGGUAUCAGAAGUGCGAAUGCUGACAUAAGUAACGAUAAAGCGGGUGAAAAGCCCGCUCGCCGGAAGACCAAGGGUUCCUGUCCAACGUUAAUCGGGGCAGGGUGAGUCGACCCCUAAGGCGAGGCCGAAAGGCGUAGUCGAUGGGAAACGGGUUAAUAUUCCCGUACUUGGUGUUACUGCGAAGGGGGGACGGAGAAGGCUAUGUUGGCCGGGCGA